GGUCUUGUGGUCUAGUGGUAUGAUUCUCGGUAAGGAUUCCUUUUCACCCUUCUUCUGAAAGUUCAAACUAACAAUUAAACAGCUUAGGGUAUACCCUGAGUAAACUUGCGAGAGGCCCCGCGUUCGAGUCGCGGCAAGACCC